CCAGCAGCCGCGGUAAUUCCAGCUCCAGUAGCGUAUAUUAAAGUUGUUGCAGUUAAAAAGCUCGUAGUUGAAGUUCUGUACGGAUUGAGUCUCCACGGAGACACAAGCCGUGCAUCCGUCUGAUUCUUCAGACACUUUACCUUGAGCAAAUUAGAGUGUUCCAGGCAGGCGCCAGCCUGAAUAGUCCAGCAUGGAAUAAUAGAAAAGGACGAAGAGCCACUGUUGGUGCGUGGCCCUUAGUAAUGAUUAAUAGGGAUAGUUGGGGGCAUUCGUAUUUAAUUGUCAGAGGUGAAAUUCUAUGAUUUAUUAAAGACGAACCUAUGCGAAAGCAUUUGCCAAGGAUG
rnacentral:rRNA from 1 species